AGGCGAAGCAGGAGGACCGCAGCGCGCGCAGCCGCAGCUGGGCAGACACUGCGGUGUUCGGGGAGCGUCCUGCGCAGUCCCGCACUGCAGCACUCACGCACUCAGCCUGCUAGGCGAGUCACCUCGGCUCUGCGCUCUUGGCCGCCCCUAAGGCCUCCAGUCUCCUUUAACCGGGAAAACCCAGGAACCGGGAAGCUAGGGAGCAGGCUUGAUCCUUCCACCCUCGAGAGCUGUGGACCUGCUGGACUACUCGAAAGGAGAUCGUUGGGUCCUCGGAAUGCUGACACGCGUCCUUCCAAGCUGAUAAGCCCAGGUCCCUAGGACCAGAUGCUAGGACUCCCGUGUGGCGCCUUGCUGUGGACCCCUUCUCAAGCGCUUGCUUCCCUGAAGGGCCUUUGCCGCAAGGCCCUCUUGACACCAAGAAGGCUGAUGACGCAGGUUCUGCGGCAGCCAACGCCCCUCCCCCCAUUCUCCGCACUCACUGGUGGGUGCCACCAGUAUCCCGCUUGGUGCAGAGGGGACAUGAGAGCUGUCUUUAUCCUGCCAGGAAGCAGCUGGACCACAGCGCUCCCAAGGAGCGUACUCUCCAACAUCAGUGUGGAAAGACCAGAGACCAUGACCGUCUCACCGUGAUCGCCUGCUGGGGCCUUAUCUAGGCUAUGGUGUCGGUAUCCAUGGGUGUCCAGGAAGGGCAAGGUCGCCCUUCGGGUCAUCGUUUCACCACCAAGGAGCACCUUUUUUACUUCGGUAGGUAUGUAGAGGGAAGGGCCUUGACUCUGCAGACUUGGGGACCAAAGUUAGAGACUAGCUAGUUCUGUCCCUCCCCUUAGAGCCACAGAAUGCCAUGUGGCACUGAGGUCCUUGCUCUCACAAAUAAGCACCCGGGAAACCAGCAAUAUUAAACACGCAGGGUUGUCUCUUCAAAGGGAGAGACAUAUAUCCUGUUUUCCUCCCAGAAGGCUGGGAGGGGAGGUGUUUAAUAUCCUGGCGAACUUUGUGCUAUCUGUAUGACCAAGGCCAUGCCAGAUCCUCCCCUAGAUAUGAUAACUUUAAGAUAUCUUAUAUAAUCAGUCAGCUAGGUGGUGGUGGUGCGUGCCUUUACUUCAGUAUUCUGGUGGCGAAGGCAGUGGAUCUCUGCAUUCUUCCCCUAAACCCUUAAGCUGUCAUAUGUAAUCAGUCACCUGGGUGGGGGUGGUACGUGCCUUUAUUUCCAGGACUUGGGUGGCAAAGGCAGGUGGAUCUCUGAGUUCGAGGCCAGCCUGGUCUACCGAGUGAGUCCAGGUCAGCCAGGACUACACAGAGAAACUUUCUGUCUCAAAAAACAAAAAGUAAAUAAAUAAACAAUUUUUAAAAAAGGUGUCCUGUGUAGUCAAUCAUCUUUAUGGAACAUGUCACAGGCACUUUAUAGAUGUCAUCAUGGCUUCAGCUUUAUUAUGUUAAAAACUACCUGGUAUCAGACUCUUGAAGUUUGAACCAACACUUAGCCGGGCGAUGGUGGCGCACGCCUUUAAUCCCAGCACUUGGGAGGCAGAGACAGGUGAAUCUUUGAGUUAGAGGCUGGCCUGGUCUACAGAGUGAGUCCAGGACAGCCAGGAUUACACAGAGAAACCCUGUCUCAAACAUAGAAUUAAGUAAAGUAAAAUAAAGUAAUAAAAACAUUUGAAUCAACACUGGCUACUGAGUCAUGUUGAGCCAGAUAGCCUUUUUUACCUUACUUGGAUUAUCACCCUGGCUGUUUGCGGUGCCUGCAGGGACCCCCACAAUGGCGGCCAACAUGAGGGGCUCCAGUCUUGGAGAAGGCUGCUUGGACUCCGUGGACUCCGCUGCUGGCGCUCGUCAGGGACCUUCUGGAGGAUGACCAGCCAGGAUUAUUCAGGGCUUUCAUUGUCUUGGUCACAGUGCUCCAUUGUCUUCAUUGUCUCUGUCUGUUCAGCCUUAGCAAAAUAAGCAAUUUUAUCUUGUCCUUUCCAUAAAAAAAAAAAAAAAUUGGACUUCAAGCCUUUUAGGCACCAAGAGACCAAACCCCACCCAGAUUUCUUUGUAUUUAUGAUUACUAAAACUUCAUGUCUUAAAGUUGUAUCUUUAUACAACAGAAAAAAGAUUUAAAUGGCAAUGUGAUCAAAAUGAACAUGGAUUUAAAAAAAAAAUAGGAGCAAAUUGGAACCAAGAAGGAAUAUUUCUUACAGAUAAUAUGGUGGCCAAGGACUGAAAAGCAGGAGUGUAGUCGAUAGGAGUUAGAUUAUUUGAAAGUUUUUCACCUAAAAUUAUUUUUAAUACAGCCUGAGAAUAUGUGCAAUGUAGUAAGAACUAGAACCUUCCAGAAAGUUCUUCCAUGGAAAUGUUAUACUUUGGUGCUGUUCACAUGUUUGUUUUGCUUGCAGUAUCAGCCGGACGUGUUCUUUGGUGCACUCAUGGGACAGCCCGUUGUCCCCCCACUUCGGGAUAGUCUGUGAUUGUUCCUCCGGUGCUUUGGGACCUCCUGUUAACCUGAUAGGAAAGUCUUCUUGAACUCAGACUUCAAAUUGCCUUAAAUUUUAAAGAUCCCAAAUCUUACAUAAAUAGGCUUAGGUUUAAAUCUUUCAAAGUUAAUAUGAAUUAAGUAGGUUUUGCUUGUGGUUUAGUUUUGAGCUUGCCCUUGGUCUGACAUAAAGGAGCAGACUCUUGACAAAGGAAGAAGUUAGGGUAGGCUCAAGAGCCCUGCCUUCUGUUCAAGGCUUAUGUUACACAGUAUCCUAAGUUUCUUGUACAUAUUAGUAGAGAGUGAUUCUCACACCAGCGUGACAUCUACACCUAGAGCGUUCUGUGUCUGGGGCCUUCUCUUCUGUCAGGUGUGUAGAGACCUGUGCUUCCUGUGCACUGCAGGCAUGCAUGAUGCCUCUCCCUAACUGGACAGCAGUAGAACACAGCCCCAGGUGUGGCAUAGGGCCUGGGGGCUCCAGGAAAAUACCAUUCUAUCAUACCUUCAGCUUUUUAAACAUUUCUUUCUAGGACUCCCAUUACAAUUAAAAAACUGAUAAUGGACUUGCUUUUACUAGCAAAUGCUUUAAAAAUGUUUUUGAAGUUUAUGGAAUAUUAAUCGUGUUACUAAACUCCCUUACAAUAGACAGUGUCAAACUAUUGUAAAACAACACAAUCAAAUACUUUAAUUACAAAUUUAAAUUCCCACAUCCUAUGCUACAUUUAGUUAGGCUAUCUUUAAAGUUUUUCAUUUUAAGAGAUAGUGCUUUUUCUGCUUCUAAAAGCAUUUUGCCCAAAGGAGACACUUCCUAGAGUACAUUUUUUUUUUUAAAAUAAAACAAAACAAAAUAAAAUAAAAACCCCAAACCUAGCAACUAAUCAAUGGGAAGUGCCCGAUGUCCUACCAUCGAGGCAAAGUUAUGUUUAUGUCUUGCAGAAAAUUAUUAAACGAGGUCCCCGGUGGCUCCUGCUGUGACACAUCGGACAAGGACUGCAUCCCAGAGACCACCAGACUGGCUGGCGAGGGGUUGAAGCUAGACGGCAAACCCACCAAGUGGAGACGUCCCAAGAGGAAGAGGAAGCCAGUAAUGUGGAGAGACUUUAACUGGUCUAACUAAGACUUUGGGGGAAACAAUGAGGACUUGAUCCUGCGGACCCCAAAAUGACUGUGUUACAUGUUGAUUCUCAGCCUAUCCGUGAAGAAUCCAAAUGCCUUUUGUCAGGAGGGCUAAAGGUCGUACCUGGAAUGGGACACAGUAGGAUGUUGUUCUGCUGUGCUAAUAAUUGUUUUUAUCCUUUGGGACCAGUUGUCUGGACAAAGACUAUAGAAACAUUUAGACACAUAAAUGAGUGGCAUUUUAAUUAGACUGAGCAGUUCAAAUGUAAUGAUACAGGUUUUAGCUUAAUGUAAUACUCUUUAGAAAGCUCUGAUGGAGGAAAUUAUAGUUAUAUGAUGUGAUGUAUAGAUUGUUCGGCUUGGACCAAGACCAGCUACUGAGUAGUGUUGAAUCGACUGCCUUCUUGCCUCCUGCAAAUCUUUAGUCUGCUGGCCUUGGUGGAGGAAGUAUGCCCCCGAGGGAGGGGAGGGCUUUGAGAGUCUCAACGCCUCGCCUUGCUUCCAAGUUAGUCCCUGCUCUAUGCUUGAUAUUCAAGGUGUGAUUUCUCAGUGUCAUGCCCCUGCCACCACACCUGCUGUGUGUUCUCAUGCCCUCCUGCCUUAAUGAACUCAUCUCUUCAGGAGCCACUUGCCAAAAUAAACAAUGUCUUCUUUAA